GGGUGUGGAUCCUUCUUAGGUAUCCUACCUAUUGGUGUGAGGUGUCACAUCAUCACAUCUCAUUCCUCAAUUGAUUGAGUUGCGAAGUCAAUUAGAUUGGAGUUCAUCCUGCUUUCCUAUGGCAUCUAACGUGCAUGCGAAGUAGAGGGUCUGCAUAUCCAGGCCUCCGUAAAUAUUUAUAUCAAAUAAUUUUAGAUUUGAUCUUUGAUUUUGUAGUGAUUCAGAUAAAGAUUUGAUCCUUAAAUAAGUAGAAUAUUAAAAAAAAUUUUGAGAUGCAACCUGAACAUUCUAAAGGAAAACUGUUCCCUUCCCUUCAACUAGUAUCA
rnacentral:lncRNA from 1 species